rnacentral:rRNA from 1 species
GCUAACUACGUGCCAGAGGCGGCGGUACUCCGUAGGGUGCGAGCGUGAAGCGGAAUUACUGGGCGUAAAGCGUUGGCAGGCGGUUAUGUAAGACAGAUGUGAAAUCCCCGGGCUGAACCUGGGAACUGCAUUUGUGACUGCAUGGCUAGAGUACGGUAGAGGGGGAUGGAAUUCCGCGUGUAGCAGUGAAAUGCGUAGAUAUGCGGAGGAACACCGAUGGCGAAGGCAAUCCCCUGGACCUGUACUGACGCUCAUGCACGAAAGCGUGGGGAGCAAACAGGAUUAGAUACCCGGGUAGUC